rnacentral:rRNA from 1 species
UACAGAGGUCUCAAGCGUUGUUCGGAUUCAUUGGGCGUAAAGGGUGCGUAGGCGGCGCGGUAAGUCGGGUGUGAAAUUUCGGAGCUUAACUCCGAAACUGCAUUCGAUACUGCCGUGCUUGAGGACUGGAGAGGAGACUGGAAUUUACGGUGUAGCAGUGAAAUGCGUAGAGAUCGUAAGGAAGACCAGUGGCGAAGGCGGGUCUCUGGACAGUUCCUGACGCUGAGGUACGAAGGCCAGGGGAGCAAACGGG